rnacentral:lncRNA from 1 species
AAUAAUUCAUACAUUAAAUUAAACUUCAGAUUUCAUCAAAUAGUGGUAUCAAUGGUAUAGAACAAACAGUCAUAUUCUAGUUACAAAGUAACAUGAUUAUUAAUACAUUAUAUCUGAAAAUACUGGGAACACUAACACACCACUAUUUACUUCGCAGAUCUGACUUUUGAUAAGUGUCUUCCCCAGGUAUAUUACAUAUUUUCUAAUUUCUUAUGCAAUGCAAAGGAAGGAAAUGUCAAUGUUUCACUAGAAAGUAUUAUCUAAAAAGAGGGAAACACAAGUAAUGCAAAGGCAUGUCAAAACAUUAUAUUCAUUUUGCUGAUCUGAUGACAGUAACCGUUUUCUCCCUUGACUUCAGAGAGAUUCAGAGGAAAGUAUUCACUGCAACUGCUGAGGCAGUGAAAGCAUUUUCCCCUUCCAGCAACAGCUGCCACCUUUUCAGCCUAGCAGUAAAACCAGCACUGAAGCCCCAGGUUUGACACUUUUAGACUACUGAAUGGACAGAGAAAAUUGACUUGAUAUGGCUUAUUAGCAGCAGUGAAGCAGCACAUGCUAAUGCACUGACUGCUACUCUGUAAACAAAGAUGGAAAAAGGACGAAGUGAGCAGUAUCUAUGCUGUGCCAUUAUGUGAUGGAUUCUUUGCCUGUGUGUCUUCAAAGUGAAGACACAAUGAGGAAACUACUGUUUCACCCAUUCAUUUACCUUGCCAAGACCCAUACACACGCAGUAAGAACAACUGACUCACCUGAAAGUUUUUACAGAAAUAGAUUUCUUCUUUCCCUAUUUGAGGCCCAAAUAUGA